UGCAAGUCGAACGAGAGAAUUGCUAGCUUGCUAAUAAUUCUCUAGUGGCGCACGGGUGAGUAACACGUGAGUAACCUGCCCCCGAGAGCGGGAUAGCCCUGGGAAACUGGGAUUAAUACCGCAUAGUAUCGAAAGAUUAAAGCAGCAAUGCGCUUGGGGAUGGGCUCGCGGCCUAUUAGUUAGUUGGUGAGGUAACGGCUCACCAAGGCGAUGACGGGUAGCCGGUCUGAGAGGAUGUCCGGCCACACUGGAACUGAGACACGGUCCAGACACCUACGGGUGGCAGCAGUCGAGAAUCAUUCACAAUGGGGGAAACCCUGAUGGUGCGACGCCGCGUGGGGGAAUGAAGGUCUUCGGAUUGUAAACCCCUGUCAUGUGGGAGCAAAUUAAAAAGAUAGUACCACAAGAGGAAGAGACGGCUAACUCUGUGCCAGCAGCCGCGGUAAUACAGAGGUCUCAAGCGUUGUUCGGAAUCACUGGGCGUAAAGCGUGCGUAGGCUGUUUCGUAAGUCGUGUGUGAAAGGCGCGGGCUCAACCCGCGGACGGCACAUGAUACUGCGAGACUAGAGUAAUGGAGGGGGAACCGGAAUUCUCGGUGUAGCAGUGAAAUGCGUAGAUAUCGAGAGGAACACUCGUGGCGAAGGCGGGUUCCUGGACAUUAACUGACGCUGAGGCACGAAGGCCAGGGGAGCGAAAGGGAUUAGAUACCCCUGUAGUCCUGGCAGUAAACGGUGCACGCUUGGUGUGCGGGGAAUCGACCCCCUGCGUGCCGGAGCUAACGCGUUAAGCGUG
rnacentral:rRNA from 1 species